GGACCCGCACAAGUAGUGGAGCAUGUGGUUUAAUUCGAAGAUACGCGCAGAACCUUACCAACACUUGACAUGUUCGUCGCGACUUUAAGAGAUUAAAGUUUUCGGUUCGGCCGGACGAAACACAGGUGCUGCAUGGCUGUCGUCAGCUCGUGUCGUGAGAUGUUGGGUUAAGUCCCGCAACGAGCGCAACCCACGUCUUUAGUUGCCAUCAUUAAGUUGGGCACUCUGAAAGAACUGCCAGUGAUAAGCUGGAGGAAGGUGGGGAUGACGUCAAGUCCUCAUGGCCCCUUACGUGUUGGGCUACACACGUGCUACAAUGGUAUCUACAACAGGAAGCAAGACUGCGAAGUU
rnacentral:rRNA from 1 species